rnacentral:rRNA from 1 species
UACGAAGGGGGCUAGCGUUGUUCGGAAUCACUGGGCGUAAAGGGCGCGUAGGCGGCCGAUCAAGUCGGGGGUGAAAGCCUGUGGCUCAACCACAGAAUGGCCUUCGAUACUGUUUGGCUUGAGACCGGAAGAGGUCAGUGGAACUGCGAGUGUAGAGGUGAAAUUCGUAGAUAUUCGCAAGAACACCAGUGGCGAAGGCGGCUCACUGGUCCGGUACUGACGCUGAGGUGCGAAAGCGUGGGGAGCAAACAGG